CCAACAAUUUUCCACCUACAAAGUGCAUCUAAGCUGGCAGCAAGCGCAGCCACUAAGUCAACUUGAGUCUUCAGAUCACAGCCCUUCUCAAAGCCAGAUGGACAGCUUUAGAACCGGAGUGAUUCAGCCAAUAUCUCAAGGCAUUUACGCGCUAUAUAGGAGAGCUCUCUAAGUUCUAAUCUGGGUUAAUAAACGGUCACACGAUGGAACAAAUGGAAUUUUGUCACUCUCCAAUUAUGAAUCAAAAUUCGCGUAGAGCUUCCUUACUGUUAAAGCUCACUACUAAGUCCCUCUCCACUUCGACCCUAAGUGGGAUGAACAGAUAUGCUGGCCCAGCACAAUCCUGGUUUUCCAACUAUACAUUGUGAUGUGCGGUCCUCUAAUGAAAAUCUGAAGCUUCCAAGGCCAAAGUGAAGAACAGAAGAUAGAUUCAGAGAAGUGCAUCAGUGUCCUUCUUUCAUUCCUUUGAUAUCUUCUAAAAUUAUUUUUGUUUGUUUGAAAUUAUAGUAUAAUUACAAAAAUUCUUUGCCCACCUUCCAAGGACAGCAAUAGUAGACAUGCUCAUAGCAUGAGGGGGAAGCCUGGGAAGCAUCAACCCUACACAAAGAACUACAGGCAACUAAGGAAUGCUGAGUGUCAGGAACAUUUUUAAUACUGUAUUGAAAAGAAUUAAUUUGCUAUAAUUGUUGUUCUUGAUAGAUCAAGAAUGAUAUGCAUUGUAUAAAGGAAUUCAAGAUAGAUUUGUGUCAUCUAACAGCUACACCUGAAUAAAUGUGAACUUGGGGUCAAAAGAAUGACAACCCAACCCAGCCUGUGGGUGAGCUUGUCUAGCUCUCUUCACUGGGAAUGCAGGAACUCGGAAACGUUCUUAAACUGAAACAAGAACGUACUCAAGAUCUACAACAGAAGGGUUUUCUCCGUUCCUGCUGGCAUCCAUUUAAGUAGCACUUCUUCUCUAGAUUGAAACUGUGUUUUAAAGAAAACUAAGCAUGUUUCAGAUUGUGAGAUGUGUUAUGGAGAAAGACACUUGCUGCCAAGCCUGAUGACCUGAGUUCAAUCCCUGGAUCCCACAUGGUAAAAGGAGAAAAUCUAUUCCUGCAAGCUGUUCUCUGCCCCCUGCAUGUACUGUGGCAACCCCUGACACACA